CAAGAUUGGACUUGUUAGCGUGGAGGACCAACUUUGUGUCAAAUGAACACGAUAACAGAAGGGAAAAGCUUAUUUUAUGCAAAAGAAAAAAUUGUUUUAUUAUUGAUACAUUGUACAUAUGAGUAACUUUAAAUUUCCCAUUUAUUAAAAAUAUUUGGAUUAUUCAUAGAGAAACUUUGAAUGAAAAACAAUUUGAUCGAAAGAUAAUUACAGAAAUAUUUUGAUAAUUUUAUGAAUACAUUUCCAUGUAUAUGUAAUACACGUAUGUAAAUUAAAGAGGCCUAAUGGCAUAUGUAUAUUUGUAAAUCAGAGCAAUGUUAGUGGGUUUUUUUUAAAUUCAUUUAUUCAAUGAAAAGAUCAUGAUUAUAUGCUGGAAAUACUUG
rnacentral:misc_RNA from 1 species